rnacentral:rRNA from 1 species
UACGUAGGGUCCAAGCGUUAUCCGGAAUCACUGGGCGUAAAGCGUGCGUAGGUGGCGUGUUAAGUGUGAAUGUUAAAUCGUGGGGCUCAACCCUGUCGAUGCAUCGCAUACGUGGCAUGCUGAGAGGACGGCAGAGGCAAGUGGAAUUGGUAGUGUAGCAGUGAAAUGCGUAGACUAUUACCAGGAACACCAAUGGCGAAGGGCAGCUUGCUGGGCCACUCCUGACACAUGAGG